rnacentral:rRNA from 1 species
GAUGAACGCUGGCGGCGUGCUUAACACAUGCAAGUCGAACGGAGAGAAAGUGCUUGCACUUUCUCUUAGUGGCGGACGGGUGAGUAACGCGUGGGUAACCUGCCCUAUGCAGGGGGAUAACAACGAGAAAUCGUUGCUAAUACCGCAUAAUAAAGAAGAGCUGCAUGGCUUUUCUUUCAAAGAUUUAUCGGCAUAGGAUGGACCCGCGUUGGAUUAGCUAGUUGGUGAGAUAACAGCCCACCAAGGCGACGAUCCAUAGCCGGCCUGAGAGGGUGAACGGCCACACUGGGACUGAGACACGGCCCAGACUCCUACGGGAGGCAGCAGUGGGGAAUAUUGCACAAUGGGCGCAAGCCUGAUGCAGCGACGCCGCGUGAAGGAUGAAGGUCUUCGGAUUGUAAACUUCUAUCAGCAGGGAAGAAGGAGUGUCUUCGGACACUCUUGACGGUACCUGACUAAGAAGCACCGGCUAACUACGUGCCAGCAGCCGCAGUAA